rnacentral:rRNA from 1 species
UGGGGAAUUUUGGACAAUGGGGGAAACCCUGAUCCAGCCAUCCCGCGUGUGCGAUGAAGGCCUUCGGGUUGUAAAGCACUUUUGGUAGGAAAGAAACGUCAUGGGUUAAUACCCCGUGAAACUGACGGUACCUGCAGAAUAAGCACCGGCUAACUACGUGCCAGCAGCCGCGGUAAUACGUAGGGUGCAAGCGUUAAUCGGAAUUACUGGGCGUAAAGCGUGCGCAGGCGGUGCGGAAAGAAAGAUGUGAAAUCCCAGGGCUCAACUUUGGAACUGCGUUUUUAACUACCGGGCUAGAGUGUGUCAGAGGGAGGUGGAAUACCGCGUGUAGCAAUGAAAUGCGUAGGUAUGCGGAAGAACACCGAUGGCGAAGACAGCCUCCUGGAAUAACACUGACAAUCAUGCACGAAAGCGUGGGGAGCAAACAGG